rnacentral:lncRNA from 1 species
GGGGGCAUCAUUUUUUCUUACUUUUGUUUUCCUGAUCCCCAUUUUACCAUAAAACAGAAACAAGCCCAGAAACAUUAUUAAGUGACUUAAGGUAAUCAGGAGCAGGUGCACUUCUCAGACUGUAAACGAGGGCAAUGUGACCACCGCAUCGCCACUCAUCUGUGCAGGGUGGCGUUGGGGGUGAGGGAAAUGCUAAGAGCACAACAUGGAUUGUUGGGGGGCAAAAACAACAAAUAAAUCAAUAAACAACUAUUUGUGAAAUAUGUGUACGGAGUCCUCGGGGCAGGGGGCUGGAUAUAAAGCCAAACUUAUCUCCCAUGCUCCGUGGUCCACUCCCCAUGACUCCUUCACCUCUCCAGCCUAGUCUGAAAUUCUCCCUCAGGCACUUUCAGAUGAUAUGAAAAAUUCUUCCACAGCUAGCCACUGUCAGGAAAAAAAUGAUUUGGAAACUGUUGUACGGUGCACAUGGACAAUGCAUACCUGCAGAUAUUUUCAAAGGACACGUGCUCUUGUGAUACAUUAUGUUGUCGGGCAUAUAUGGAAGGCAUCCUGGGAUUAACUCUGGUGACUGAAGGAAACAGCACUCCUUUUCACCGUUUACAGCCACUGCGUGUACCCGGCCUGCAGUGAGAGUGGGGGAGGGAACAUUUGCCAGCCUUUCUGGAGAUCCAGCAGCCAGAAGAAAGCCAAGAAACUCAGAGCUGUAAGUCACCUGGGGAAAUGGAGAGUUCUGUUUGUAAAAUACACAUCCACAACAAUGUCUCAGCCCUAUUUUGAAAUUCCUCAUGGGAAGGUGUGCGUGCAUAUGCCAAAAUGUAAUCUUAGGUAUGAGAGCUAGAACCGGAGAUGUGGAGAGGAGUUACAAAGUGCGCUUUUAAAACAUGAUGUCUAGAUUUCCUCUAAAAUAUUUCAGCAAGAAAUGAAAACAGAAAGAUGAAUGAAGCAAGUGUGGCAAAACCUUGGUAACUGUUACAUGUAGGUGAUGGGCGUAUGAGAGCGUAUACUCGCUCCACGUUGGUAUACUAUGAAACUUUUUUCGUAAUAACAAAUAUAAAAAGAUCCUGCAGCCCCGGCUGAGACGCCCCGAUCCACCUGGUGCCUCCCCUUUGUAUCAAGCCGGCCCCACAACGACCCCUCAAGCUCCUUCCUGUCUUGCAGACUUCUACCAGGACGAGUUUAGACAGCUGCAAGGGUGUUCUUAAGAAGCUAAAAGAAAUGAAAAAUCACAAUUUUUAAAAAUCGCUGUCUUUCUGUCCCUGUAGCCACCGAAAGACGAGGUACUUCCUCAGGGACAGAAUGCUGACGCCGCGCAGAGUCGGCCGAAUCCAGCUUCUCCAAGGGCGGGCGGGUGGGAUGAUUUGUUGAUUUGCUUGUUUUCCACCAAACCGCAGGGCACCUCCAGGAGCUCCGGGACAACUUACAAAUGAAGACACAGAGCCCCCGUCCCUUGCUUCAGAGAACCAAAUAACGGAACUGAAUGAUCGUUUCUUCAGCAAAGCCUAAAGACGCUUGCGUCCCGCGGAGAGGUGCCCACGCGCGACUCGGCUGCCCCCUCUUCUUGCGGGUCCGGGUAGGGUAGGGCGGGAACGCGGGACGUGCCCUAAGCGGGCCAGCCGAGCGCGAGACAGGCGAUGCUGCAGAAGCCUGCCCGCCUGCGGGUCACACACCGGCCGGCCUCGGCUGCAGGGGUUGCGGGGCCACGGGUCGCGGGGCGCCGGGAGCCGCGAGCAGGUGACGGCCGCGCCGGGCAGCCCCGCGGGCCGCGAUUCCCGAGAGCCUGGCGCCACCCCGCGGAAGCCGGAGGAACUGCGGCUUCUUCCCGCUCCCGCGCGGAGGGGAGAGGGAGGCGCAGCGCGGAGGGGAGAGGGAGGCGCAGCGCGGAGGGGAGAGGGAGGCGCAGCGCGGAGGGGAGAGGGAGGCGCAGCCCGCACCGCGCAAUCCCGGGGCUCUGGCGGGAGGGAAGGUGACUUGCGUGGGACGACUCCAAGAGGCCAGGCCCGGCCUUCGCAGUUCACCCACGAGGAUACCGCGACCAAGCCACCAAAGCACUCUCUGGCCAGGCCGAGACCCCUUUUCCCCCGGGCCCCAAGAGAAAAAAGCACUUUCUCCUAAAACACGAACUCCCCGCGGAGGGGCCCGGGGCUGCCUGGCACGGGGCAGGGUGUGCGGCUGCCGUGCGGGCGCGGGCCAGAGUCACGUGGAGGCAGGCGGAGAGGGCGAGGGGGCCCCCGUAAAUCAUCCUGAGGGAUUUUUGGCCCAAGUCCCUGUUUCCGAAAGGUUGCGGGACGGCUUUGACGUUGAUUAUGUAGCUGUUCUCUUUUCAAGUGCGCGCCCCUCCCCACCGCAGCCCGUCUGGUGUGCGAGGAUUGUGUUUGAAAGGGAGGAAGCAUCCUUGAAGUGGUGGGUGAUGGAUUGUCUAAACCCUUCUGGGACGUUCUGGGUGGGGGUUUUCGAGGCAGCUCAUCAAUAAAGACCCCCCUGGAGAGAAGGGGCGGCUGGAGACCAGCCCCCGCCGCGCAGCCCCGAGGCCCCAGGCCUGGAACACAGUCCUCGGUGUGGGGCACAGGGCGUGAGGGGAGGAUGAGCUCCCCCUGAGCAGAUGGAGAUUUCUCCUUGCCUGGGCCGUUUGACCCCCAAAGCCUUGCAGACUGGCCGCGUGGGUGCCAUGGGGCGAUUUCUUGGGAAAGGAGGGCAGCAGAAAGGCCCGUGGGCUCUCAGCGCCUUGGAGUCAGGGGAGCAGGAAGGGGAGUGGAGGUGCGGACACGCCUCCAGCCACCGUGCUCCCCUAGGAGGAUCUCCCUUCAGCCCCUGUAGAACCCUGCAUCUCAACCACCCUCGUGCAUGUGGUUUACCUUGGCAUAGAUUUCCAAGCCGCUACAGAAAACCUGUCCACCUCCCCCAAGGUGGAGGCGGGAGUUGGGAGGCAGGGGUGCUGGAAAGGGUCACCUGGCUCAAGCCGACCCCAGGUCUGACGGGCGGAGAGCCUCGAGGGCCACGCCCCAGGCCAGUGGUGUCCUCUGAGGCCGCAAAGCCGACUGGCUUCUGGAGGAGCAGCAGCCUCGGCCUCAGCCUCGGCUGGGAAAAGACGCAGUCGGGGCCCUCCGUGCUCCAAACUUGAACUACUCUGGGUCCCCACGAGGAGGAGGCUGCCCUGGGGUCAGAAACUCCGACGGAAAUGAAGGGGAGGGGGCGUAGGUUCCCUGGCACAGCUCGGCCUGGAGAGGCAGCCUGGGGGCCCAAACUCAUCUAGGGCGCGCCCGGAGCUUCCCCGGCCUCUCUUGGCCCAUCGCGAACGAGCUCCCCUCCCCGACUGGGUCGGCCUCGGGCGCCUUUCGCCUUCGCAGGCCGCCGGGGUUCCGCGGAGGGCUUGUGUCCCUCCCUCCCGCCGCCGCAGCCCGCCCGAAGGUCAGGCCGCAUCCGGGGCCCGGGGCCUUUGGCCAGGCUGCGGGGAGGGGUGGGGUUGGGGGGCUCCCCAAAGCAGCUUCUCGGAGGCGGCGUCGGGGCGCCCUGAGGUCCCUAGUCGGCCUCUGGGCGCCGAGCACGUUUUAUUUAUCCCCACAGAGGAUGCUGGAGGACAAAAGAAAUAUUUGGACGUCAGAGCUGAUUUAUA